UUCAAUUUGGUUGUCAUCUCAUUAUUUCUGAUCAAGUUGUUUUCUUUCUGAAUCUUCCUUUAGGCAUCGAAAUCGUGUGCUUUAUGGUCUCAUGUUCUGAAAAAUUGCAGUCUUGGUCUUAAGCAUAGAGUUUCAAACCAAAUGCAGCAUAUGGCUUAAUGUUAUGAAAGAAGCAGGAAGAUUCCUCCUUUUGACUUACUGGAAGGAUAUGCACUGAGCAUCAAGGGAAGAGCAUUAGAAAGGGGUACGGUUGAAGGAGCUUUUGGUCUCUUCUGCAUCUGCAGAGAUACUGUGUGCACUUUAUCAAAAUAAACUUAGCUCAUCAAAACGCAGUUUUCAAAAGGCUUCCUAAAACUGAUGCAUCUACCUUUUGAAGUCGUAUAAGGAGGAUUGAGAGGUUUAGGGUCGAAGAGAUAGAGACAAAGAGACAGAAAUCGGGUGUGUUUCUUUGCUUUGCACGAAGAGAUAGAGAAAGAUCAGAGGCAAGUUCUCACCUCAUCAUCUGAAAUCGGAGGUGUUUAAUUCAGAAAUUGGAGGUGUUUUUGGAGUAAUAGAAGGGACUGUGGUGUUCUGAAUUGUGGCUUUGGUGGGUUUGGCGAGAGUGAGGAUCGCAGACACUGCAUUAGGCCAUGCUUU